AGUGAACGCUGGCGGUAGGCCUAACACAUGCAAGUCGAACGGCAGCACAGUAAGAGCUUGCUCUUACGGGUGGCGAGUGGCGGACGGGUGAGGAAUACAUCGGAAUCUACUUUUUCGUGGGGGAUAACGUAGGGAAACUUACGCUAAUACCGCAUACGACCUACGGGUGAAAGCAGGGGAUCUUCGGACCUUGCGCGAUUGAAUGAGCCGAUGUCGGAUUAGCUAGUUGGCGGGGUAAAGGCCCACCAAGGCGACGAUCCGUAGCUGGUCUGAGAGGAUGGUCAGCCACACUGUAACUGAGACACGUCCCAGACUCCUACGCGAGGAAGCAGUGGGGAAUAUUGGACAAUGGGCGCAAGCCUGAUCCAGCCAUACCGCGUGGGUGCAGAAGGCCUUCGGGUUCUAAAGCCCUUUUGUUGUUAAAGAAAAGCAGCAGGUUAAUACCCCGUUGUUCUGACGGUACCCAAAGAAUAAGCACCGGCUAACUUCGUG
rnacentral:rRNA from 1 species